rnacentral:miRNA from 8 species
UCGGGUUUCGCGGUAUUCGAACA